rnacentral:rRNA from 1 species
AUUGAACGCUGGCGUCAGGCCUAACACCUUCAAGUCGAACGAGUGGCGGACGGGUGAGUAAUGUCUGGGAAACUGCCUGAUGGAGGGGGAUAACUACUGGAAACGGUAGCUAAUACCGUAUACCAUCAGAUGUGCCCAGAUGGGAUUAGCUGGUAGGUGGGGUAACGGCGCACCUAGGCGACGAACCCUAACUGGUCUGAGAGGAUGACCAGCCACACUGGAACUGAGACACGGUCAAGACUCCUACGGGAGGCAGCAGUGGGGAAUAUUGCACAAUGGGCGCAAGCCUGAUGCAGCCAUGCCGCGUGGGUGAAGAAGGCCUUCGGGUUGUAAAGCACGUUCAGCGGGGAGGCGUUACCCGCAGAAGAAGCACCGGCUAACUCCGUGCCAGCAGCCGCGGUAAUAC